UGUUCUGUCUGAGUAGGCAGUCUGGCACUUUGUGAAAUUGUAAAUGAUUAAGGAUUAAAGUUGGCAUUUGAUCUUGUAGAAUCAAUUAAAGACAGAGAGGCCCUUUUAACAACUUUGCUGAACCAAUCACAAGACUAGAAGUCUCACAAUCAAUUCUAAGACUGCAGCCAAGAAGGAAGUUCCUUCAAGACAUUAGGGCUGGGCCUGUGAAGAGAGCAAGAAGAAUGUUCUUCAUGUUUUGUUAGCCAAGCAGAAAACCCAAAGAGAAAAGAACAAUAAAGACUGAAAAUGACUGGAAAGAUGCAGAGUUUUGCUGUACUCUAAGAAGUGACCACUCAGGGGUCUGCUGGUCAAGUUCCCCCCGCACCCCUCCCUGCACCUUACCACAAGUCACAGUCAUCUGGAAAGAGAGGACUUCAAUUGAGAAAAUGCCUCCAUAAGAUUGAUGUAUAGCGCUGGAGAAUUGACUCAGCAAUUGAGAGCAUUUGUUGCUCCUUCAGAGGGCCCAGUGGUGAGCUGCAUUUCCUGAGUGUCAGCAGACUGCCCAGCAGGAAUUCCAGCCUGAUGGAGAAUCAGCCAAAGGAAGUCCUCACUGAGAGACACAGUGGUAUCAUUCACUGAGUGGAAACAGUGAAAGAAUAACAUAUUUCUAAAGGGAAUUUACAUUAUUAAUACUGUGCUUUUGUAGCAACUUACAGAAAUACACUUUCAUCUUUCGUGGUGGAAGGAAUAAGUAAUUUUCCUCAAAACCCUAGCUUUGUCUCUAAAGCUUUUUCUGUUUUACUCUGCUAUCCCAUCUUUGAGAUGCUAUUCAUAACUGCAUCACUGUCUUCCUAAACAUAAAACAAAAUAACUAAGUCUUCACCUGAGCGACUGUGAUGCCACAUGUUCUAGCAGUAGCUC
rnacentral:lncRNA from 1 species